rnacentral:rRNA from 1 species
GACGAACGCUGGCGGCGUGCCUAAUACAUGCAAGUCGAGCGAGACUCUUCGGAGUCUAGCGGCGGACGGGUGAGUAACACGUGGGCAACCUGCCUGUAAGACUGGGAUAACACCGGGAAACCGGUGCUAAUACCGGAUAAUCCUUUUCCUCUCAUGAGGAAAAGCUGAAAGUCGGUUUCGGCUGAUACUUACAGAUGGGCCCGCGGCGCAUUAGCUAGUUGGUGAGGUAACGGCUCACCAAGGCGACGAUGCGUAGCCGACCUGAGAGGGUGAUCGGCCAGACUGGGACCGAGACACGGCCAAGACUCCUACGGGAGGCAGCAGUAGGGAAUCUUCCACAAUGGACGAAAGUCUGAUGGAGCAACGCCGCGUGAGCGAUGAAGGCCUUCGGGUCGUAAAGCUCUGUUGUUAGGGAAGAACAAGUACCGGAGUAACUGCCGGUACCUUGACGGUACCUAACCAGAAAGCCACGGCUAACUACGUGCCAGCAGCCGCCGUAAGAC